rnacentral:rRNA from 1 species
UACGGAGGGUGCAAGCGUUAUCCGGAAUCACUGGGUUUAAAGGGUGCGUAGGCGGUGGCGUAAGUCAGUUGUGAAAUACCCCGGCUUAACCGGUGGGACUGCGAUUGAUACUGCGUUACUUGAAUCAGGUUGAGGUAGGCGGAAUGUGACAUGUAGCGGUGAAAUGCUUAGAUAUGUACAUAGAACACCGAUUGCGAAGGCAGCUUGCUGGACCUGUAUUGACGCUGAGGCACGGAAAGCGUGGGGAGCAAACAGG